GAACUCAACUUACAAUCGUCAUACAGACAUCCAAUAAUCAAAUUCCAUUGAAAUCAUUACCAAAAUUAUGCAUGAAACACACACACUCUCUGCAUCAAUUUAAACAAUAACUAAACAUGCAUUUUUCAAAGAUUUGAUCACCCUACAUGCAUUUAAAAAACCAAAUGCUCGUAAAAAUUAAUUACCAUCGAUCUUACCAUAAAGUAGAAGGUCUAAACUCCAAACGCACAAGGAAAUAGACCUAAAAAUCAUGAAGAACAACUAGUAACAUGCCUGUGCGGUGCUUGCUGUGUCAAUCAGGAUUUUGAAUUAAAUCUGCAGAUUUUAGGUUGUUUUAACCAUAGAGAUUCAGUUUCAACUUAGCUUAAAACUUAAAGGAACUAAUCUAAAACUGGAAAUCGAAGAAAUAACCGAAAGAAAAUAAGAAUCGAAGGGGAAUAACACACUUACCUGAACAGUUUGGCUUGGCUCUAUUUUGGUUGUAGAAAAAGCUUCGAUCAAAGUUGGAAGAAGAUUUUUGUGUUUGGGUAAAAAGGGAUGAAUAAACAAUCAAAAAGGUCAAUUGACUCAAAUAGAAGAGAAAGACUCACCUCAGAGGAUAAGAAGUCGUUUUCAAAAGCACGCUCGAUUUUCUGCUCUUGUCUCACACUAAACACUAGACUUUCACACACACUCUCUCUCUAGUAUUUUGUUUGCUCGAAGGAAUGAAUAAUUGAAGAAGAAAGCAUAAUAAAAAUGGGGUUUUAUACCUCCCAAUUGCUGCAUCCUUGACCCUUAGAUGACAUACAAUGCAUCCAGGUCGUUGGGGGCUUCGGGUGGCCGACAUAACUAUAGAGGAAUGCUGGUUGGCCGACCCUUAGCU
rnacentral:lncRNA from 1 species